rnacentral:ncRNA from 1 species
AUGAACUCCGAGCUGUUUUGCCUACGUCCUUGCGAUAGGGGAAAACCAGCCGUCAGCCGACUGUUGAACCUAAUGGUCGAGCUGUAAGGGUCAGGAAAGAAAUGCCCUGGCCUCCCGUAUUUGGAAAGGUGUUUAUGU